GAUGAACGCUGGCGGCGUGCCUAAUACAUGCAAGUCGAGCGAACAGACGAGGAGCUUGCUCCUCUGACGUGAGCGGCGGACGGGUGAGUAACACGUGGAUAACCUACCUAUAAGACUGGGAUAACUUCGGGAAACCGGAGCUAAUACCGGAUAAUAUAUUGAACCGCAUGGUUCAAUAGUGAAAGACGGUUUUGCUGUCACUUAUAGAUGGAUCCGCGCCGCAUUAGCUAGUUGGUAAGGUAACGGCUUACCAAGGCAACGAAGCGUAGCCGACCUGAGAGGGUGAUCGGCCACACUGGAACUGAGACACGGUCCAGACUCCUACGGGAGGCAGCAGUAGGGAAUCUUCCGCAAUGGGCGAAAGCCUGACGGAGCAACGCCGCGUGAGUGAUGAAGGUCUUCGGAUCGUAAAACUCUGUUAUUAGGGAAGAACAAAUGUGUAAGUAACUAUGCACGUCUUGACGGUACCUAAUCAGAAAGCCACGGCUAACUACGUG
rnacentral:rRNA from 1 species